CUCCCAGCAUCUGCCCCACCCCCACCCCCCGGAAUUUUCCCUACUCGCCCAGCCGCCCGCCCUCCUCAGCCCAUCGUCCAGACCGUCUCCAUCGCUGCUCGCCACCGAUCUCGACCAGCCGGUCAGCCGCUCGUCCAGCAUCGCUCGCCCCUCAGCGUGCCGAUCUUGCCAGCCGGUCAGAGUAGCGUCCGUUCUGUUAUGCUGAGAGUCGAGAGCCCAGAUCUGAAGGCGUCUUCGUCCGUUCUGUUCCCCCGAGAGCCGUUCGCCCAGUUCUGAAGGCAUCUUCGUCCGUUUGCAUCGUCGGAUCUCAUCUCCGCUGCUGCUAGCCACGUUGUCAGUCGUUUCGCCGUCAGUCUCCAUUGUUCGUCUCUGGUUGGAUUCAAAAGACUUGGGCCUUGUGAAUCGCCGUCCAUCAAGAUUUGUGAUCAAUUGGUAAGUUUAGCAAGAGUUUUGUUAAUUUUUUUGGGUUGCCUUUUGGUUUAGUGUGGGUUUAAUGUUUGGUUGGGUUUUAAAUUUGGAUUGAGACCCCUUGAAUUGGCUUGUUUCUGCAUUAAAUUUUGUGUUCGUGGCUCGAGUGAAGUGUCAGGUAAGUAUUUGGAUGUAUUGGUAUGAAUUUGUGAUUUGGGCUACAUUUUAGGGUUGGAAUUAAAUUCUGAUGUUUGCUUUAGGUUCAAUUCAAGGUUCUUUUUAGGUAAGGAGAAGAAUAAAUUUGUUGAGAUUGAGCUCGAACUCUCAAGUAAGUAAUCUUACUAUUGGAACUUUCCACGGACCA